GAGCUCGUGGUCUAUUGGUAUGAUUUGACCCUCACACGGUCAAGGUAGCAGGUUCGAUUCCUGCCGGGCUCA
rnacentral:tRNA from 1 species